rnacentral:rRNA from 1 species
GUAAGGAAUAUUGGUCAAUGGACGAAAGUCUGAACCAGCCAUGCCGCGUGAAGGAUGAAGGCCCUCUGGGUUGUAAACUUCUUUUAUCUGGGACGAAAAAAGGGUAUUCUUACUCACUUGACGGUACCAGAGGAAUAAGCACCGGCUAACUCCGUGCCAGCAGCCGCGGUAAUACGGAGGGUGCAAGCGUUAUCCGGAUUCACUGGGUUUAUAGGGUGCGUAGGUGGGUAUUUAAGUCAGUGGUGAAAUCUGCGGGCUUAACUCGGAAACUGCCAUGGAUACUAUUUACCUUGAAUGCCCUGGAGGUAAGCGGAAUAUGUCAUGUAGCGGUGAAAUGCUUAGAUAUGACAUAGAACACCAAUUGCGAAGGCAGCUUACUACGGGGUGAUUGACACUGAGGCACGAAAGCGUGGGGAGCAAACAGGAUUAGAAACCCCAGUAGUCC